CCACAGCACGGCACGGCACCACAGCACGGCACGGCGCGGCACCGCUCCGCUCCGCACCGCUCCGCACCGGCGGGACACACUGCCGCCGCAGCCCGCCGCCCGGGCACACGCACCGCCGCCCUGGCACGAUGAGCCCCGGCUCCAGCGCGAUCCUCGCCUCGCGGUUGUCACAAUACAUUCUUAUCAGUGCGUGGAAACAAGAUGACACGAAUUUCAGCUGCUUAAAAAAAACGGGGGGUAACCUGAAAUGCUCCUUUGCAAAAUGAGCAUUUUAGGUUGAAAUGCUCAUUUGCAGCAAAGCUUACAGCACUGAGAGCUUAUUAAUAAAAUUCUACAGUUUAUUGCACCUGAAAGCAUUGAUACAGUAAUUUUGUUCAAAGGUUUUGGGUUCUACAAAACUUACUCAAAAUACUUUAUUGGUUAAAAAUAUAACUAAAACAUUCUUCAUUCAGCUGAUUCAGAGAAGCCUACUUUCUUAAACAACAUUUUGAUUGACAAGAGAGAUUCUUAGCAUGUAGAGAUAAGUAUGUAGUAAUGCUUUUAAAACAAAUCUUUUCGAGACUCUUUUUCUGCUAGUAAUAGUAAUUCCCAAGGACUUGUGCACAGCAACCUUCUCUGGUUUUUGCAAAGAAAAAGUAACUUAAAAAACUCCCUAGAGACCAGGAUUUGAAGCCUCUAUGUAGUAGCGCAUGCUUCAUUAGCUUUACAGCUCAAAAAGCACUUGAGGUUUUUAGUUUUUAAAAGACAACAAAACAGUUGCAGGCAGUGUACUAAGUGGACCUUCCUGAAGAAGUGGACCAGAUUUUUUACGUUUAUAACAAGUCUGCACCUCAGCACUGUUUUCAAUUAGAAUCCAGUUAUAAUAUUGAAGUAAUCAACCAACUCACAUUAUUACAUGGGAAACAAAGGUUACAAGCCUGAUUCCAAACCUUUGCCAAAGGCAAGACCUGCAAUUGUUGUUUACAUGUAUUCCCACAGUGGAAAAUUCAGAUAAGGUUUCAAAUCACUCCCUAACUGGGAAGGUUGGGCUUUAGCAUGAGCACAACAGAUCCUUCCUGCAGCCCAGACACAGCAAACACAAGCAUGGUGCUGCCUACCCCAUCAGCUGAAAUAUUAACUUCUCAUAAAUACAGUAUGAACCUGACUAGCCAACAACAUGGACAGAAACACAACAUGUCAAAGAGCUCCACAUCCUAAUUGCUCUUACAGCCCGUAAUACUCCCGACACUAGCAUUAGAAAAUGGAAAAGGCCACACUUGAAGGUCCCUAACUUCAGAAAAUGCUUCAAGGGACCAAACGCUGCCCUGAAUUAAAGCUUACUCGGCAUCACUGGCUUUAGAGAACAUUGCUAAAGUAGGAACUUGUGAGCUGCUGGGCCGCCACAAGCAUUCUUCUGACUAACAGGAAGGAACUUUGUUUCAGAGUUAUGAGGCAGAACAUCUGAUCGGUGUAGUAUUAUUAUUAGUCUCCCAGUCCUACAGAAACCACAAUGGGAAGCAAGCAAGACCAAGAAGGAAUAGAAGGAAGGAGGACAAGUGAUUUUCAGUAGCUUCCCUUCCUAUAAGUAACAGGAGGAAGCCUACCCAAAUUGUCCAUGACUGUACCAUAAUUUACACUUACUUUCCCUGAAGGAUGUUUCAAAGCAGCAUUGGCAAUAACCUUGCUAAGCAAGGACGGUACAAAAAGGGAAGAAGAGCUAACAUCUGAUACAGUGAAGUGCCCUGACACCACUAGAUUUCUCCAGAUCUACACAAAAGGGUGAGUUUAAGAAUGAAAACUCUUUACAUUGCCACUGAGUGAACAAAGCCAUGCCAGAACACACUGUACUCUCUGCAGAAGUAAAUAUGCAUUUAUUUCUAUCUUUGCUGUAUUGGUUCAGAAACAAAACUGGCUCAGGUAGAAAUGGGUGGAUGUGACUAUAGGUCAGACUGAAGCACGCACUUAACGUUACCUUCAAUACUAAAAAAAAGUAGAUGCAGUCUUCAGUGGUAGUGUUACCCCUUUCUGGUGGACUACAGAAUUUUCUAGACCACAUUUGUAAAGAAAUACUGCUUUUUGCUAUGAGGUUCUCAUGCCUUUUUUUUUUUUUUCAAAGAGGAUCACAUGGUGUUUCUGAACUGAGUGUCACAGCCCCAGGAGGUUGCCCCUCUUCUCACUGCCUAACAGCAUUAACACAAAAACCAUAAUCCAUCAAAAUUCUUCCACCCCCAGGUCACCUGCCCAGGGCUGUUAGCCAAAGUCCAGUUCUCUGAAUUGCGUACAAUGCACAUUCAGUUCCUGCCUUUGGCUUCCUCAAUCACAUUAAUUCGUUUUCUCAUUCAUUUUCCUGUAGCUGCUUCAGAAGGAGUAAGGGGAAAUAAGCAUGAGCAGAAAGGCACGACCAGUGUCAAAAAGGAAUAGGAGAAAUCUUUAGAAGACAGACGUUGGCAUAAUAAUUCUCAAGUACAGCUACAGGCAACAUCAUGUGCAUCCAGCACACAAUACACCACUUUGCUGUAUUUUGACAUCAGCUGUCAAACUGUGACCAUGCUGUUUAGCAACCACCACUCUUUUAGGUGUGCAAAGACACUAAGCGACAUUUGGAGCAAGCUGAGAUACAUGGCCCUGAAAUGACAGAUUGUGCAGAAGUAAAAACUAGGCUUAGAUACUGAGAGGGAGAAAAUAAGGGGGUACUAAACACCCUCUUCCUUCAUUCUGUCUCCAGGUUUCUCCCAGAUCAAGUGACUUUAUUAUUACUCAGCCCAUUUCUCCAGGUUUGUAUCACAAGCAUUCCAAUCCUUGUGCAAUCAUAAAUUAGUACUCCAAAAGAUCAAGGACAGCAGAUUCAUAAAAAAGAAUUUAAGGACUAAGCUAUUUGCAUUAAAGGAAUGAAUUCCAUAGUCAUCCCAAGAUUCUGCUUGGAUACUUGCUUUGUAACCUCAACUCACUGCAUCCUCUCUGAGGUGUAUCGGAUGGAAAAGAAAGCCAUUUACUGCUGCCUUGCUGCCUCAGACUGAGCGCACUGUGAAUGGCACUUCGUUAUCUCUCCAUUACUUAACCUGUUUCUUGUGUCAGCUCAUCACCAGACACAUUAUUUAUCCAACUACGUACUGCUUUAUUAAUUACUAAUUUAGAUAAGAAUAAAUAACUCUAAGCUUGAAGGCACAAAUACGUCAUCAAUGAAAGGCAGCAGCAAUAAAAAGAAAGGAGUCACAACACUUAAAAGGUAGAGCACUGAAAUACAGUGGCAUGAAGGGAGACAAGGACUUUAAUUUAGACUAUAAAUGCAACAUACCACAUGAAAAAUUCAGUUUGAUAUCUGUAUCAAUAUCAAUACAGAUAUCAAUAUCAGGACCCUCUCAGUAAAAAUUUCUUGAACAUGACAAAUUUCAGCUUGCACAAAACAGUAUUUAGAAAACCAGGCUCAUAAUUGCAUGAUGUAACUUCCAAAACUGUAUGACUCCAGUAUCAGUCAUCAUACCAAACACAGGACUACCUAACCAAUACGUAUCUUAAGGGAUGGGUGGUUAGGACAGAGGUAGUAAGAAGAGGUAACAAAGAGUGAACCUCAGAACAAGAGAUUUACACCAGUACCAGGAGACAGACAGGUUUGUAUGACUGGAGGUUGUGUGAAUGCCAGCAGGGCUGUUCUGUGAUGAGUCUGAAGAACAGAUUUUGGAGAACUGUGCUUCUCUGAGGUGUGGAUCUGAUGUAUGGAAGACAAGUAAAACCAGAGAAAAUGUGGUGACUGGGCCUCACAUUGAUAUAAAUGACAAUGCAAAAUUAUUACUGAAACAGAUCAGAAAUAACUCUUUCAUGCUCUAGGUUAUUUAAAUAGAGUCAUAUUCUUAGAGUACAUUAAAAAGGAAAAUUAAGUUUGAAAGAUUAAUAGCACUCACUUCCAAUUUAGAAUAGUCUUAAGAUAGUAAGCCACUAAAAUGUAUUGGGGAAAAACCACCUCUGCAGAUAGAACGUCACUACGGUGUCUGGAGAAAUAAUCUUCAACAACUUACACCACCAAGAUUUAUACAAGAAAUUAAAACUAAAAAUGAUGGCAGAAAUUGGGAGAAGGCUCUGUAAUAUUCAUAGAUGAAUGGGGAAAAAAGAACAGGUAAGUAAGGAUACAGAAAUACAUCAGUAUGUAAUGAGUAGAUGGACACAAGGGUUUGCUGGGUUUGUUCUUUAAAGUAGUAGUAAUUCAAACCAGCAGGCGGGCAAUGAAGCUAACAAAAGGACCAUUCCUAAUACAACCGAGGUGCUGCGGAUAAUUUAAAAAACAAUACAUAUAAAUAGAAGGAACUUAAACAAAAAAUGGAGGCCUAAAACAUGAAACAAGGCAUUAAAGGGGAAGCAGAAACAGUGGAAUAGUAAG